CGAACGGGGAGAUUCAUCGUCAGCGGACGCCGGCUUCGCGUCGGUCGGCGAUGUCCCGCGGGGGCCCUCGCGGCUCUCAGCGCGGGCACGCUGCCGUGCGCCGAUGUAUCCGGCUUCGCCGUCGUGCACUUCUCCCCUGGUAGAACGUCGCGACCCGCUGGGUGUCGGUCUACGGCCCGGGUGCGGUGUCUGACGCGCCGCCGGUAAAACGGCGCGCGUCAAACCCCCGGUCGCCCGGCCGGCUGCCCGGCGGUACGCGCAAGGUAUCAGGCCGCACACACAUUGGUGCGUCGAGGCCGUCGCAAGCGCGCGCCACGGUACACGGAGGUACGGACCUAGCGCCGUCACCGGUCCUGGCCCGCUGUUGGUCGUACGGUUAACCUUCGACAGGCCUACGAACGUCCCAGCGUCGGGGGCGUCGGGGGCUCGUCUCCCGCGCGCUCUCGCGUUGGCGACCGAUACCGGUCAGCGACGCUACUGCUUUGGGUACUCUUAGACCCGUC
rnacentral:rRNA from 1 species